AUCGAACGCUGGCGGCAUGCUUUACACAUGCAAGUCGAACGGUAACAGGCCUUCGGGUGCUGACGAGUGGCGAACGGGUGAGUAAUGCAUCGGAACGUACCCAGAGGUGGGGGAUAACGCAGCGAAAGCUGUGCUAAUACCGCAUGUGAUCUGAGGAUGAAAGCGGGGGACCGAGCAGCAAUGUUUGGCCUCGCGCCUUUGGAGCGGCCGAUGUCGGAUUAGCUAGUUGGUGGGGUAAAGGCCUACCAAGGCGACGAUCCGUAGCUGGUCUGAGAGGACGACCAGCCACACUGGGACUGAGACACGGCCCAGACUCCUACGGGAGGCAGCAGUGGGGAAUUUUGGACAAUGGGCGCAAGCCUGAUCCAGCAAUGCCGCGUGCGGGAAGAAGGCCUUCGGGUUGUAAACCGCUUUUGGCAGGAACGAAACGGUGUCCGCUAAUACCGGGCGCUAAUGACGGUACCUGCAGAAUAAGCACCGGCUAACUACGUG
rnacentral:rRNA from 1 species